rnacentral:lncRNA from 1 species
AUGAGUCGAUCAUGUCUUUGCAUUAUCAGAAAUUGGGCUUGGUCAUUUUGGGCCAUGGGCUUCACAUUUUCAGCCUGUAUAAAAUUUUUUCCAACACAUGUCUCCUAUUCUCGAGUUUGAGUUUUGAUCGAGCAAAGAGAGAAUUGCUGAUCCCUAACACUAAAGAUGUGAAGAGUCCAAGAUGAAAAGGCACGCACGAUUAUCGAGGUGGAUGUGAAGGGGUCUGGAUAGAUAAUCAUAGCAGAAAUAUAGAGUUUUGAUUUGAAUUUUGAUGGAUACCUUUUUUGGUACGGUGCAUUAAUCUAGACAACUAACGGUGGAAGCC